rnacentral:rRNA from 1 species
UGGGGAAUAUUGCACAAUGGGCGCAAGCCUGAUGCAGCCAUGCCGCGUGUGUGAAGAAGGCCUUCGGGUUGUAAAGCACUUUCAGCGGGGAGGAAGGCGAUAAGGUUAAUAACCUUGUCGAUUGACGUUACCCGCAGAAGAAGCACCGGCUAACUCCGUGCCAGCAGCCGCGGUAAUACGGAGGGUGCAAGCGUUAAUCGGAAUUACUGGGCGUAAAGCGCACGCAGGCGGUCUGUCAAGUCGGAUGUGAAAUCCCCGGGCUUAACCUGGGAACUGCAUUCGAAAAUGGCAGGCUAGAGUCUUGUAGAGGGGGGUAGAAUUCCAGGUGUAGCGGUGAAAUGCGUAGAGAUCUGGAGGAAUACCGGUGGCGAAGGCGGCCCCCUGGACAAAGACUGACGCUCAGGUGCGAAAGCGUGGGGAGCAAACAGG